AGGAGUGGAAUCUGCGGCUUAAUUUGACCCAACGCGGGAAAACUCACCGAGGUCAGGACACGGUAAGGAUUGACGGACUGAAGGCUCUUUCUCGAUUCCGUGGAAAGUGGUGCAUGGCCGUUUUUGGUUGGUGGAUCGAUCCGUCUGGUUAAUUCCGUUAACGAACGAGACCUCGGCACUCCGAAUAGCGCGGCGGACGUCGCGGCCUCCGGGCCGUCUUCCGCACGAGCUUCUUAGAGGGACCGUCCCCCGCCGGGGAAGGAGGUGCGAGGCAACGACAGGUCUGUGAUGCCCUUAGAUGUUCUGGGCCGCACGCGCAUUACACUGACGCGUCCAACGGGUGACUCCCGACCCGAAGGGGCCGGGGAAUCCGCAAGGCGCGUCGUGAUGGGGAUUGAACGUUGCAAUUGUUGUUCACGAACGAGGAAUUCCUAGUAGGCGCGGGUCAUCAACCCGCGCCGAUUACGUCCCUGCCC
rnacentral:rRNA from 1 species